AUUGAACGCUGGCGGCAUGCCUUACACAUGCAAGUCGAACGGCAGCACGGGAGCAAUCCUGGUGGCGAGUGGCGAACGGGUGAGUAAUAUAUCGGAACGUGCCCAGUCGUGGGGAUAACGUAGCGAAAGCUACGCUAAUACCGCAUACGAUCUAUGGAUGAAAGCGGGGGUUCGCAAAGACCUCGCGCGAUUGGAGCGGCCGAUAUCAGAUUAGGUAGUUGGUGAGGUAAAGGCUCACCAAGCCGACGAUCUGUAGCUGGUCUGAGAGGACGACCAGCCACACUGGGACUGAGACACGGCCAGACUCCUACGGGAGGCAGCAGUGGGGAAUUUUGGACAAUGGGCGCAAGCCUGAUCCAGCAAUGCCGCGUGCAGGAUGAAGGCCUCGG
rnacentral:rRNA from 1 species